UACGGAGGGUGCAAGCGUUAUCCGGAUUCACUGGGUUUAAAGGGUGCGUAGGUGGGCAGGUAAGUCAGUGGUGAAAUCUCCGGGCUUAACUCGGAAAUUUGCCAUUGAUACUAUCUUUCUUGAAUACCGUGGAGGUCAGCGGAAUAUGUCAUGUAGCGGUGAAAUGCUUAGAUAUGACAUAGAACACCAAUUGCGAAGGCAGCUGGCUACACGAAAUAUUGACACUGAUGCACGAAAGCGUGGGGGAUCAAAACAGG
rnacentral:rRNA from 1 species